UACGAAGGGGGCUAGCGUUGCUCGGAAUCACUGGGCGUAAAGCGCACGUAGGCGGGUUGUUAAGUCAGGGGUGAAAUCCUGGAGCUCAACUCCAGAACUGCCUUUGAUACUGGCGAUCUUGAGUCCGGGAGAGGUGAGUGGAACUGCGAGUGUAGAGGUGAAAUUCGUAGAUAUUCGCAAGAACACCAGUGGCGAAGGCGGCUCACUGGCCCGGUACUGACGCUGAGGUGCGAAAGCGUGGGGAGCAAACAGG
rnacentral:rRNA from 1 species